rnacentral:rRNA from 1 species
UACGUAGGGUGCGAGCGUUGUCCGGAAUUACUGGGCGUAAAGCGCGCGCAGGCGGCUAUCCAAGUCAGUGGUGAAAGCCCGGAGCUCAACUCCGGAACUGCCAUUGAAACUGUUUAGCUUGAGGAUGAGAGAGGUGAGUGGAAUUCCCAGUGUAGAGGUGAAAUGCGUAGAUAUUGGGAGGAACACCAGUGGCGAAGGCGGCUCACUGGACCGGUACUGACGCUGAUGCGCGAAAGCGUGGGGAGCAAACGGG